GUGUCAGCAGCCGCGGUAAGACAGAGGCCUCGAGCGUUAGGCGGAAUCACUGGGCUUAAAGCGUGUGUAGGCGGAUCGUUAAGUGUCUUGUGAAAUCCCACGGCUCAACCGUGGAACGGCUGGGCAUACUGGCGAUCUUGAGCUGCCUAGGGGCGACCGGAACAAACGGUGGAGCGGUGAAAUGCGUAGAUAUCGUUUGGAACGCCGAUGGUGAAAACAGGUCGCUGGGGGCAUGCUGACGCUGAGACACGAAAGCCAGGGGAGCAAACGGGAUUAGAAACCCCCGUAGUCC
rnacentral:rRNA from 1 species